ensembl:miRNA tgu-mir-2979-1 tgu-mir-2979-2
CAGGAUUAGCUGGUCCAGAACCUUUCAAGGGACUGAAGUGAGACUGACCAGCCUCAGUUCCUUGGGUUCUGCUGCUUGCUUUUCCUG